rnacentral:lncRNA from 1 species
AAUUCUUGGUAAUGAUAUUGAAGAUCAGAGCACUAACUUUGUUGUCUGUCCUGCUAAAUGUGUUUGGGGUUUCACAAGAGGGAGAGGUAAAAUGUUCCUUCCAACCAAGGAGAGGGGGUUUUGUACAAUGGAUGAUUGCAAUGAAAGCCAUCAAUGAAAUAAGAUGUCAUGCUGUCCUGGAAAAUUCACCAAUAUUUUAUGAAAACUAUGGUGUCUUUCUCUGUGUGGCCAAGGUAACCACUCAAGUAGACCCACAGGAAUUGGUUGUGACUUACCAGCCUAGGCGAAUAGUUGUUAUAAUCAUACUGGAUUGAGUCGAGUAGCAGGUUGGUUAGAUUUAUUUUCAAGCUCGCUUUGGCUUGGUCAGACCUGAUAUUGGAAAUAUACAUAGGGCUGACAUAUGAAAUUCUUGUGUAAAUUGUUGUUCUUGUUUACUUCUAUGGUUAAAAGAGAUACUUGGAUGCAGCAACAGACCCAACCUUUUCUUUGAUUACAAUUUCACUGACUGUUGGAGCUAAGCUGUUGUUGGGGAAUGUUUCAUGGAAAUAUCUGCUUUCUAGAAACAAUUUCCUCUUAUCCAAUGAAAUAUAUGUGAAUAAAAUUGAAUCUUGAUGGAAACACUAGGACUUUGCAGGUGUUAUACUGCAGCAUAUUUUGAAGACAGAAAGUACAGUUUCUUGGCACCAUUCGGCGGCCUUGCGUUUAUUGCCGCUUGGGGGAGCUUGCUUUUCUAAGGAUUUCAACUUCCUCAUACAGUGGUACAAAUUCUGGUUUCUGGGUUUGUGAAUUCAAUAAGGCAACUAUGGUGGGAUCUUGGGGAAUUGUACCAAGAAUGCUUUUAUUUUUCGGAUUUGAGAUUUGAACAGUUUCUGGAAUUUCUUGUCAUGCAUCUCUUGUAAGAGUGUUCUUGUCAUUACAAGCCACUUCUCCUGUUUGUAUACAAUAAUCUUCUCAAAGAUGUAGAUGGAAUAUUUCAAAAUCUAAGUUUAUACUAUACUUUUGUGAAGUUCUCCAUUGUCUUCUGAUGCAUUUGGAAAGAAUGUAGGAUGAGUAAUCUUAUAGGGCUGAUGGGCUAAGCAAAAUGAUCUUACUUCUAUUGCUAGUAUCAUAUCCAUAAAAUCUUUGAUAAGGCUUCUGAGCUUGAAAAUUUUGUACUGAAGUAUGAAAAUGCUUUCUCAGCUAACAUCAUUUAUCCACUCACCUAUUCAAAAAAUUUUAGAAUAAUAUAUGAAAAUAAUAUAAGUAAAAUGAUGUAAUAAUUUUAAAAUUAUAAAAGAUUUUUAUAUAAUAAAAUCAAAUAAUAAACUUUUUCUUUCAUUUUCAAUAUAUAUUUUCACAUGAAUAUCGUAUGUAUUUUAUUUUAUAAAAAAAUAAAAUAUUAAUAUAUUUAUAUUUAUCCAUAAUUCAAUUUGAUGAUAUAAAAUAAAAUAAAAAUGAAUAUUAUUUUGUUUUUUCUCUUUGAUAUUAUCAAAUUAAAUACAUAAUGGGUUUGAUUUCAAUUAGGGUUCAAUCACGAUCCAAACAUCAAAUCAAAUUGACAACUUUUCCAAUUCAACGAUGGAUCGAUUCUAAAAACAUUUAUAAAUACUGAUAUAUAAUUCUUACCAAACAAUAUUUUGUUUCUUUUACACACUUUUGUGAGAUGAGGUGUACUUCAAUGUUGUCUAAUUUUGAAGGUUGAGCAAGGAGGGUUCAUUUAAGGUUUAAAGGUUGGGGGUAGAAGGGGAGAAGGUUGUCAAAUCUCCCACCUCCUAUUUGUGAAUGAUACUCUUCUUUUUUGUGAGAUAAACUUAAUCAACUAAGAUGUUGGAGGUGAAUUGUAAUCAGCUUUGAGGUUGCGUCUGGUCAGAAGGUUAUCUGUAAAAAAAGUGAGUUCAUUCCAAUGGGGAAAGUGAAGGAAGUUUCUUUGCUGGAUUAUAAGGGGGCUUCCAACUACUUAUCUUGGUCCGCCCUGGGGAGUGCCUCAUAAGUCUUGUAUUAUGUGGGAUGUUCUCGAGGAAAGAUUUGGUAGGAGAAUGGCCUUUGGGAAGAAGUGGUAUUUUUCAAAGGGAGGUAGUUUGGUUCCUAUAAAAAGUACUUUCUUCAGCAUGCUAAUUUAUUUUAUGUCCCUUUUUACUAUCCAAGAAAGUGAGAAUUAGAUUGGAAAAGGUGUAAAGAGAUUUUUCAUGGGAAAUCUUUAAGAAGGCAGUAAAGUGCACCUAGAGAGCUGGUCUAAGGUUUAUAAGGAUAAAAAAUUUCAAAGGUUUGGGUAUUAGAAGAUCAAAGGUUCUUAAUGGACCCUAACUUGGCAAAUGGUUGUGAAGGUUUGCCCUUGAGAGGGAGAGUUGGUGGUGGAAGAUUAUUCAAGGGAAAUUUGGGGAAAUGGUUGGAGGUGGAAUAUUUGCAAGAAAGGGAAGUUCAAGUGUGUGGAAAGGCAUUAGUAUAGCUAUUUGUGUUAAUGAUGGUAGGCGGACAAAAUUUUGACGGAAAGUUGAGUGGGGGAGAGUUGUGUGAAAGUAUCAUCUCCUUUGUUGUGCAGUUUAGCCUUUCAUAGGAAUGCUAUAGCUGUAGACUUGUGGGAUAGGGGUAGAGGAGAUCAAUAUUAGUGUAAUUAAGAACACCUUUCCAUGAUUGAGAGUUGGAGUGGGUAUCCUAUUUUUUUUUAGAGCUUAUUUAUACAACAAAAAUGCAACAAUUAGGAGAAGAUAUCUUGGUUUGGAAGUAGGAUAGGAAAGGAAACUUCAACGUCAAAUCGUACUACAGUUCUUUGUGUGUUGAUACUAGAGUGGAGUCCCAACUAAGGAAAUUUGGGGCACUCCUUUGUGAUCUCACUUUUUUUCUUAGGAAGCAGUAUGAGAGAAGAUUUUAAUUACAAACAUGUUAACGAAGAGGGGGUAAUCGAUGGUUAGUUAAUAGAUGCAGUCUAUGUAAAAAGAGCGAAGAGUCUGUUGAUUUAUUGUACAACGACAAAGUUGUUAUGGAUGUUCUUCUUAGCAAGCUUUGGGAUGAAAUGGGUGUUUCCAGAGACUAUGAGAAAUUUGCUCCUCAAAUGGAAGGAAGGUUAAGGGAAUGGAUAAGAAGAGACACCAUGUUCGGUGAAUGGCUCCCUUGUGUUUGUUCUAGUGUAUAUGGCAAGAUGUUAUUGUUGAAUCUUUAAGGGUGAAGAGCUCUCAGAUCAAAGGUUAAAGGAGAACUUCACUAGAACCCUCUUAUAGUGGGUUCAAAUACUUCAUUAGAUUUGGGAAACUUCUCAGUGUUUGACAUUUUGGGUAGACUUAGCUGCAGGUAGAUUAGGUUUUGUGGCUGUUUUUUUGCAGAUACUUGUCAGUAUUCUUUGAUUGGUUUUUUUGUGUACACUACAUAUAUACAUAUGGUGCACCCCAUUUUUUUUGGGUUAAAGAAAUUCAUUGAAUGUUGCUUAUGGUAUAAAAGAGCCACUGCUGGUCAAAAUGAAAUUAUUUUAACAAUUCCGAAAGUGGGGUGCUUUCAGAAAUAAAAUCCAUUCUCUUUCAGAGCUUUGGGCUGGUGCACUCCACCAUUCCACCAAACCACCUAAUGCAUGUAACUCUUCCGAUAUUCUCUUCUGUUUACUGUUUCAUUUUCUAAUAGGGAUUUGGCCCAGAAAAGGCAAACUUUGGAAAUGUAAACCACUUCUAAUGAGAACACCAGAAGUAGCUUCCUCGCAAGCUCCAGAAAAGUUUUAACCGGGUCUAUACUGUGGUAAAGUCUUGCACCAAUAGGACCCCGAAACAUUUAUUUGAGCAUUCAUAAGGAUUGAAAAUUGAAAUAAUUUAUCCUUUAAAUCAGGAUGUGGUUGAGAGAAGUUCACUCAUAUAUGCUUUGUAUGAUUAUCAUCAUGUGAUUAAUGCUGCACAUCCUGCUGAUGUCUUGAUAUUUUCUACUAGAUACAGAUAAGCAUCUGUCCACCAAAUAGUGUAAUGACAUGUAAAAAGAAAGUGGUAUAGAUGACAGGUGGGACACCUAGAUAGGCAUGUUUACAUCUUUUUUAGGUUCAGUCUGUAAAUUUCUAAUGCAAUUAACAGAAUGAAAUGUGGGAAAGCAACAAAAAACUUAUAGCAUUUUCCUUUUUCUUGACCUUGCUUCUUGGUUGUUUUACUGUUCAACUCCUUACUCCUAAUUGCAAAAACUGAUUUUUCCUAUUAAAAUCGUUAUUUUUAUCUUUUCACUCUCUUUAUCUUUUUGCUGGAUUGCAGAUAUGGGUUGGGCUGGCGAGGUGGAAGAUGGUAUGCAAAUAGGAAGUUCAGAAGGGAGCAAAUGAAAUUGCUAGGGCAGAUAAAACCCAAAAGGACGCCACUCCAGUUCCUUAGAAGACUAAGAAGACAGAGGGCGCCAGAGACUGCACCCAAAACCUCUCCAACCUUGCAAAAGGAUGCUCCCUCCAAGAUUCUUUACAAACCCGCCAACAGCAGUUGCUGUAGUUACUUAUUAAGCAUAUCAGAUGAAAAAUGCUAUCAUAUAGUUUCAUACUCAUUCAAGACUGUUUCUGUACAAAGCAUAAAAUGGAUUAGUUUAUUCCUCCCUCCCCCAAGCUCUCUAUCAUUCUUCUUUUUUUUCGGGGACAAUUUUUUUGGUUCCUUGUUCCUUGUUGCCAGUCUGGGGAUGAGUGCAAUAUAAUAAUCUUUUGUUUCCUAACAGUGGAAAAUUAGUUCAAAUUGCUUGCCAGGCUCAUGUUCAAAGUAUUCUAUAUAUGUUGAGAAGGUUUGCUUUCUAAUUACAGCUUUAGGAAGAUUUCCAGGUUAUGGUACACAUUUUCUUUACAGGAAGCCUUUUGAAACCACAAUGCCCCAUAAAAGAUGAUCGUCCACAUUAAUCUUCAUUUCUGGUGUGCUUGAUUUACAUUCUUAUUACCAUCUGGCAUAAGUUUUGUUUGAAGGGGCCAUGAAAUAUUUAGGGUUGGUGAUUGAGUACUGGAAUAGCACGAUUAAUAUGAUACGGGUCAAUGCAAAGCUUGUUAAAACUCAAUGAGUGCUGUGAAUAGAAAGAAAACUGUUACAUAGACCACAAAAUUCUGUGACAAGAUUGCAUUUCUCUUUGCUUUGUUGUUAGUUAGACGAGGCCAAAUAUCAUACAGACCAGGCAUUAGAAGUCUGAAAAUGGGAUAUGGGUCUUAGUUUUUUACGCAUUUGUUGGCAGAUAGUGGGUUUGAUGUGUGGAUUGCAAACACUCGUGGAACCAAGUAUAGCCGUGGGCAUACUUCGUUGGAUCCUGGGGACUCGGUUAUCAUUCUUUCUUACAUGUUGGGUUCUCUUUUAUUGCCCAAUUUGUGAUCCACUGAUUAUCUCAAUGUUGUUUUUUAGGCUUUUUGGGAUUGGUCAUGGGAUGAGUUGGUAUCAUAUGACCUUCCUGCUAGCUUCCAGUAUGUACAUGACCAAACAGGACAGAAACUGCACUAUGUUGGGCAUUCCCUGGUGAAUAUCUUUAAAUUACUCUUGUACUAGUUCCAGGAUUUUUUUCCUGAAGUCUAAAGGGGAUACUGAGUUUGGAAAUUCUUUGCAGGGUACUCUGAUUGCUUUGGCUGCCUUUUCCCAGAAUCAGCUGUCUUGCUUAGCCCAAUUGCUUAUGUGGGUCAAAUGACAUCCCCACUAGCAAGAAAUGCUGCUGAUAAUUUUAUAGCUGAAGUAAAGACUUAUUCUCUUUCAUUUAUGUUUGAUUUCCAGCAAAAUAAAAUUCUCUGACCAUACACUUUAUCUUUCUUGACAGUCCUUGUACUGGUUGGGUCUCGAAGGUGAGAAAACAGCUCUUUUUCUUUACUCUUCCUAUAAUUCUGAUGCUUCAAGCAAAACAAUUUUAUUUCUGUUGCUAGUACCAUAGACAUAUUGGGUCUUGAUGGAUUGGAUCUGUGGAAGUGAAAAAGACAUCUUUUUUUCCUUGCCCCGUCCUAUAGUGGUGAUGGACCAGGCAAAAUAAACUUAUUUCUAUUGCUAGUAUCAUAUCCAUAAAAUCUUUGAUAGGACUUCUGGGCUUGAAAAUUUUAGACUAAAGUAUGAAAACACUUUCAAAAUUUUGUCGCUAAAAAGUUCCUAACCAUCACACAAGGACUUGAAUCACUGAUAUAAAGAGAAUUUUAGAAGCUGUGAUAACACAUACAUUUGCUUUGCUUGGUUCUCUCUGAUUAGUAUAAUGGAAGUUUCGAUACACCUGGUGUAUCGCCAAAAUUGACUAGAUGAUUCAUUUUGGGAAAAUGAAUUAUCCUGGUUUGCUCUAUGACUGAUUUCUUAAUUUUCCCCCAUCACCACCCAAGUGAACAGGGAUGCUGUAGUUAAUCUUCUAAAAGCCAUCUGCAAGAAACCCGGUGUUGACUGCACUGACUUGUUGACUUCUUUUACAGGUAAUAUCCAUGUUCUUGAUUUUCUAAUCAGCACUAUGUCUUUUGAAAAGGUCAUCUUCCAUAAUGACUUACAUUGUGUUGUAUCUGCGGGCCAAAACUGCUGCCUCAACUCUUCCAGUGUAGAUGUUUUUCUAGAGCAUGAGCCUCAAUCAACAGCAACAAAGAACACAAUCCAUCUAUCUCAGAGUAAGUAUAGUCCCUGUUUCAAAACCAUAAUACAGUGGUCAACGCGAUCAUCUAGAUGAUAUCAUUUCCUCCCCUCAUUAGCAUAAAGAGGUGGGCAUCGGUUAAUUUGAACAAACCUUUUGUUAAGAGUCGAUGUCUGAAUUUCAACAGUGAUCAGAGAAGGAACAUUAGCUAUGUACGACUACAAGGACGAGGAUGAGAACAUGGAACACUAUGGGCAGCCUACUCCUCCUGUGUACAACAUGACAACCAUUCCAAAUGACCUUCCUCUCUUCCUCAGCCAUGGUGGGCAGGAUGCACUUUCUGAUGUUAAUGAUGUGCAACUCCUGCUGGAAAGCCUCAAAGAUCAUGAUGGAGAUAAGCUUGUGGUGCAGUACAGAGAGGACUAUGCACAUGCAGAUUAUGUUAUGGCUUCCAAUGCCAAGCAAGCUGUGUAUGAUCCUCUCAUGGCUUUCUUCAAGCUUCAAUAAACUGGGAAAAAGUUUGUCAACUAUAGUCUGAUUUUGUUAUACAUUUUCCUUGGUGUGAAAAAUUGUAUUCCAACUGUCAUAGUAGCUUUUAUGCUAAUAAAGCUAAAUUUUUUGAGUUAUUUGGUUGUUUAGAUUGGUUCUUUCAUAAUCGAAACCGAGAAAUUAACUUAUAAAACUUUAUAAUUAACAACAUAUAGAUAACAUCAAGCUUCAUUUUCUCUAUAUUCAAUAUAAAUGUCAGCAAGAAAUGCAUUAGCAGUUAGCACACUGUUGGAAAGUCAAUCUUCCUAAAUCUUCCAUAUUAAGAAUAGAUGAUUUGUAUAUGUUAGUUUUCCUAUUGUAAUUCCUGACUUAUAGAUGGAUAGUCUAGAAUAUGCUAAGCUGAUUCCUGACUUGUAGAAAAAGAUCUCAAACCUCCUUGUAUAAAUACACACUUCAACAUCAAUAAUAUUAAUUCAGCCAAUUCUUAUUCUUUUCAUGGUAUCAGAGCAGGACUAAAAUCCUGAUUCAUUGCUGCACUUUAAUCUCUCGUGUAGCAUCUCUUUUCUUCAAUCAUCAUGGCAAAAUCAGAGAUUCCUACGGAUUUCUCAAAGGCAGAUAUCUCCAAUCCCUAUUUCACUCACCAUUCAGAUCACCCAGGUUUGGUUUUGAUUUCCAAAUCUUUGAAUGAAGACAAUUAUUCGGCUUGGAAAAGGGCUAUGAUUCUAGCUUUAAAAUCCAAGAACAAAUUGGGUUUUGUUAAUGGCUCGAUCAAGGCUCUUUCAGAAGAAAUUGAUCCUGAAGGUUAUGCGACUUGGUCACGGUGUAACGACAUGGUUCACUCCUGGAUCAUCAAUACUCUCAAUCCAGAAAUUGCGGACAGUGUAAUCUAUUAUUCUACUGCUCAUGAAGUUUGGGAAGAUCUCUAUGAGAGAUUCUCUUAGAGCAAUGUGCCUCGCAUCUUUGAAAUUCAGCGAGAUAUUGCUUGUCUUCGACAAGAGCAACUCUCUGUCUUUGCCUAUUACACAAAAUUGAAAGGCCUGUGGGAUGAACUGGCUUCCUACAACGCUGCAGCACAUGGGGCACAACAAGAUCAACAAAAAUUGAUGCAAUUUCUGAUGGGUUUGAAUGAAUCUUACAGUGCUAUUCGCGGGCAAAUCCUCCUGAUGAAUCCUCUCCCUUCUGUCCGCCAAGCAUACUCCUCUGUCUCUCAAGAAGAAAAGCAACGCCUCCUCACUUCAACGAAUGCAGCAGCGGAAUUUGUCGCAAGUGCUGCUAUGGCCGUGCACAGCAACGACAAGUCUUCGGCAACUUGGAAGGACGGAAUAGAUCGAUCGAACACAGGAAAGAUGGAACUGACUGAUCGCCCCUCUGGUUCUCAAAAUUUCCGAGUGAAUCAGUCUUCUCAAGGACAAGAUGGCAGACCAUUUUUUGAUCAAGAUCGGCGCCGUAUGGGUUCUAGAAGAGGACGCCCCCAGUGCUCGUAUUGUGGAGAUAUGGGUCAUUGGGUCCAAAAGUGUUUUCAACUACAUGGAUACCCACCAGACCAUCCUAAAGCAAGAAUGAACUUAGGCUCAAACUCAAAGUUUUUCUGCCACUAACCAAGUUUCUGAGGCAGAUGAAGGGAAACCUGCAGUUGCAUUGUCAGAAGCCCAACUCAAGCAACUUUUGUCACUUCUUAAUAACCAAGAUGAAAACUCUAGUUCCAAAGUGAAUGCGGUAACAAAGCCAGGUUUGUCCAAAGUCGCUUCCCGCAAUUGGAUUAUUGAUAGUGGGGCGACAGAUCAUAUUACUUCAUCCUCUAAGUUAUUGCAUAAAGAUAAAAAUUGCUCGUUACCGCCCGUAUUGUUGCCUAGUGGAGAAAAAGCGAAUAUUGUUACGAAAGGGACUUUGCCUCUGAAUUCCGUCUAUUAUCUGCAUGAUGUCUUAUCUGUACCUACAUUCAAAGUUGAUUUAAUAUCAGUUAGUCGUUUGACAAGAGGUCUAAAUUGUUUAGUGACGUUUUUUCCUUAUUGGUGUAUUUUGCAGGAUCUGGCUACAAGGAGGACGAUUGGUUUGGGUAAACAACGUGAUGGGCUAUACUAUUUGGUGGCACUAGCGACAGAGAAAUCUUUAACCAACCAUUCCUCAUCCACAAACCAACCAGCCUGCAAUCUCGCCAUCUCUUCCACCGAUCUCUGGCACAGUCGCUUAAGCCAUGUAUCACCUUCUCGUUUGAGUUUCAUUGCCAAGAAUUUUUUGAAUUUUUCUGUUCAGUCCAAUAAUGCUUGCCCUAUAUGUCCUUUGGCUAAGCAAAGUCGUUUACCUUUUGGUACUAGUGCUAUUUCUUCUACAAAACCUUUUGAGAUUAUUCAUUGUGACAUUUGGGGACGUUAUCGACACCCUUCUUUGUUUGGUGCCCAUUACUUUCUCACUAUUGUCGAUGAUUAUACACGUUUCACUUGGAUAUUUUUAAUGCGACAUAAAGAUGAAGCACAAUCACUUUUAAAAUGUUUCUUCAGUUAUGUGUUCACACAAUUUGAAUUUCGCAUUAAAACUUUUCGAAGUGACAAUGGUAGAGAAUUUACCUCACUUCGUUCAUUUUUUCAAGAUAAUGGUGUCAUCUUUCAGCAUUCUUGUGUUUACACGCCUCAACAAAAUGGGGUUGUGGAACGCAAACAUCGUCAUAUUUUACAAGUAGCCCGAGCUUUGAAAUUCCAUGCUUAAGUUCCCACUCAAUUUUGGGGGGAGUGUGCUCUCACUGCCGUACACAUCAUCAAUCGGUUACCUUCACCAGUAUUGUAUUUCAAAACUCCUUUUGAAUUGCUUUACUCAAAACCACCUUCUUACUCCCAUCUCCGUGUUUUCGGAUGUUUAGCCUAUGCCACCAAUGUUCACACCUCUCACAAAUUUGAUUACCGUGCCAUGCCAUCCAUCUUCAUCGGUUAUCCUGUUGGUCAGAAAGCAUACAAAUUAUUUGAUUUAUCAACCAAAAAGGUCUUUACUAGCCGAGAUGUCAAAUUUCAUGAAGAUAUUUUUCCUUAUGUCUCUCUCAAGCCCAACUCUACUCUCCCUUCGUUGACCCAUAAUUCUGGUCCAAUCCCCUUGGUGGCCCACAACAUCUCUUCCUCCCUUGACUCUACUUCUCACGCACUUUCCCCUCUUCUUUCCAACCACAUAAGCACACCGUCUCCCACCAUAGAAAAUGACGACUUUUCCUCUCCUUCUUGACCUUCCGAACUCGUUAUCGAACCUUCUUCUCAGAUUGAUCCAAACCCUUCACCACCGCCUUCUCUGGUGCCACCGUUUGCAUCCAUCCCGUCCGCUCCUCCAGCCGAGACACCCAUCUUUUCACCAGAAACACACUCACCCAAACCAGCCACUCCGCUCCGUCGCUCCAGCCGCCAUAUCGCCCCGCCAAUCAAGCUCCACGAUUAUGUUUGCUCCCACGUUUCCUCCAAUCAAUCGUCUUCCUUGAUUCCAGGUCCAACUAAAGGUACACGAUAUCCAUUGGCCAAUUAUGUUUCUUAUCACAGAUAUAAGCCUGCAUAUAGAUCUUUUGUUGCUCAACAUAGUGCUGUCACAGAACCCAGGUCUUAUUCGGAAGCAGCCGCUCAUCCUGAGUGGCAGGAGGCAAUGCGUUCUGAAUUGCAGGCUCUCCAAGCUAAUGGCACUUGGUCUCUCACUCCACUUCCGGCCGGCAAGACACCGAUUGGCUAUCGAUGGGUGUAUAAAAUUAAACACCGUUCAGAUGGGUCUAUUGAGCGUUACAAAGCACGAUUGGUAGCGAAAGGCUUUACUCAAUUAGAAGGUGUCGAUUAUCAGGAUACCUUUUCCCCCACCGCCAAGAUCAUAUCUGUCCGCUGCUUGCUUGCAUUGGCCGCAGCCCGUGGCUGGUCUCUUCAUCAAAUGGAUGUUAACAACACUUUUCUUCAUGGCGACUUACAUGAGGAAAUAUAUAUGUCUCCGCCGCUAGGGCUUCGACGACAGGGGGAGGAAAACUUGGUAUGUCGCCUUCAUAAAUCACUCUACGGUCUGAAACAAGCUUCUCGCCAGUGGUUCGCCAAGUUCUCAGAAGCUAUUCAAUCCGCCGGUUAUGCACAAUCUCGAGCCGAUUAUUUUUUUUUCACCAUAAAACAAGGCAAGUCCUUUACUGCCCUCUUGAUAUAUGUUGAUGAUAUUCUGAUUACUGGAAAUGAUCCUGUGAGCAUUGCUACAACAAAAAAAUUUCUGCAUAGUCAUUUUCAUCUCAAAGAUCUGGGUGAUUUAAAAUACUUUCUUGGCAUUGAGGUUUCUGCUUCUAAAAAUGGGAUUUUUAUUUCCCAACGUAAGUAUGCAUUAUAGAUUAUUGAGGAUGCAGGAUUGUUGGGCGCUGCCCUUAUUGAUACACCUAUGGAACGAGGAUUGAAAUUGUUUGAUAAGAGCGAUUUGCUCAAGGAUCAAGGUCGUUAUAGGAAAUUGGUUGGAAGGUUAAUAUAUCUAACUGUGUCGAGGCCAGAUAUCACUUAUGCAGUUCAUGUGUUAAGCCGGUUUAUGCAUCAACCGAGAAAGGCUCAUAUGGAAGCAGCGUUCAGAGUUGUACGUUAUCUCAAGAAUGCACCUGGUCAGGGUCUGUUCUUCUCUUUGAAUAAUGAUUUCAGAUUGAGAGCCUACUGUGAUUCUGAUUGGGCAGGUUGUCCACUUACUAGAAGGUCCACUACAGGCUACUGUGUAUUCCUUGGACCUUCACUGAUUUCUUGGAGAUCAAAGCGACAGAAAACAGUGUCACUCUCUUCAGCCGAAGCAGAGUAUCGUGCAAUGACAGGAGCUUGUUGUGAGUUGACAUGACUUCGGUACCUUUUGAAAGAUUUGGGUGUUUUACAUCAGGAACCUGCCUUGCUGUAUUGUGACAACAAGGCAGCGUUGCACAUUGCAGCCAACCCUGUUUUCCAUGAGCGUACUAGACACAUUGAGAUGGAUUGUCACCAUAUUAGGGACAAGAUCCAAGAUGGUUCCAUUAUUACAAGACAUGUGAGCUCAUCGCACCAACUUGCAGACAUUCUGACUAAACCAUUGGGAAAGGAGUUUUUUGCUCCUAUGAUUCGCAAGUUGGGAGUGCAGGAUAUCCAUUUUCCAAUUUGAGGGGGAGUGUUGGAAAGUCAAUCUUCCUAAAUCUUCCAUAUUAAGAAUAGAUGAUUUGUAUAUAUUAGUUUUCCUAUUGUAAUUCCUGACUUAUAGAUGGAUAGUCUAGAAUAUGCUAAGCUGAUUCCUGAUUUGUAGAAAAAGAUCUAAAACCUCCUUGUAUAAAUACACACUUCAACAUCAAUAAUAUUAAUUCGGCCAAUUCUUCUUCUUUUCACACACAUCCAUCUGUUUCUAGUUCAUUUUUACCAAGCUCACAUUGGGAAAAAUGUAAUGGAAAGGAAAAAAGAAAAGCCAAUGCUAUGCUUGGCUUUGGAAAAAAGCUAAGGAAAAAUGGAAAAUGUUAUAAUUUUCCAUCAAUAGGUGUGGACCCCGCAUUUCGGCUCAAUGCGUUUCCCACUCGAUGGCGAGCUCGAUUUUUAUUUGAAAAAUUGAUUUUUAUUGAUUAAGAAAAAUGACUUGGAGUCGCCACUUAUUUUUGUUUUAUUUUUAAAGGGUAAACAAAAUAAGAAAGAAAAACCCUAAGUGUGACUCCUUAUUUUGGAAAAGGUGAUCUACGAAAAACCGGAUCGGGUUCGGGGGUCAGGUUACUUAUCGGGAAGGUACGGUAAAGACCGUAGCACCCCUCUAAGUCCCUAAAGUCGGGUCUCUACUAAUAGAAUGAAGCUGACGUGAUAUCUAAUAAAGAAAUCAAUGAAUACCCGAAUUGAUCAUGCACAUAUGGGAAUCAAUACAUGUAUAUAGAGUGACCAGAGUGAGAAUAGGUGUGUACCUGACCAACGGGCCACCAUGCGCUAUCAAGAGAGGAGGUUAGUGCAUAAUAACAAUCACGAGAUACGUCACAGAGCAUAAUAAAAUCCAUCAUUCAUGGCAAUUAAAUCAAUCAAUCAAUCAAUCAAUCAUGAAGUCUCAUAUGUAGGGCCCCCACCAAAGCCCAUUUAUUUUAGCAUGAAUUAAUUCCAUAAAUUCCAUUAUUCGAAAUUACGAAAUUAAUUCUUGCUUAUUUUGAAACGUUUUAAAAUCAUGGAAUUGGGAAAAUUAUUUGCUAGAAAGAAAAAUGGCAACAAAACUUUAUUGAAAGUGGAUUUUUGAAAACUUAAAAAUGGGAAGGAUGAAAAAUCUGGGAGAUUUGAAAUUGUUCAAAAACCGAAAUUUCCAAAAAAAAUGUACCAAUCAGGGUUCAAGAAACCAUCUUCAAGUUGAGAGUAUGCAGAGGUGGACCCAGGGAGGAAUGAUGCUUGGCCGAGGCGUGGGCUCCACCAUUUGAAACGGAUCUUUCAUAUUUUCCCUCCCACCACGUCACAAUUACUGUUACUAAACCGAAAGGCCUUCUAAUCACAUGAUGACUCUACUGCAGACUGAGACCCCUCAAGGGUGCCAUAUUCGUGAAUGCCUUGUUUAGAUGACCAACUGCUUCAAACUCUAUUUGGCUCAUUUGACUUUCUCAUAUAGGUGACAAUUAUAUCCUCUGCUAUCGAGCCUGCCACCUUCUCAACCGCACAUGUGAUUGUUCCAGAAUAUAUCAAAAUCAUGUGAUAAUCUUCUGUACUCAAAAUCAUGGACACAUCUGCAUCAUUCAUCACAUGUAAGAACUCAGCUUCUGGAUAGCUAAACGCAAACGGAUCCGCAACACCUCUACUAAACCAAAUUCUUAAUAUUCCAGCAACAAACUCAACUGAAGGUUUAGCCACAAUUCCUAUUUGAACACCACCAAGAUGUCCAUUUCUUGAAUAUCUGCGUUGCUCAUGCCAUAAGUAGGUUCUAUGUCACCAUUAUAUACCAGAUUAAAUAUCUUCCCUGCAGAUGAAAUGAGUUGAUUAUAACUGUAGCUAUUCUGGUUGGCUCCUAUGGCAGCACUUUCCGCUGUUGCUAACCCUGGCCUGGCAAUUGCUUUGAUCACCUCUAUGACGUACUAUAACAUGCUGCCAGAAAAUCAGUGUUCACAGAGAAAGAACGGAGCGCAAAGAAACACAAGGGGAGUGAAGGAGAAUGAAGACAAUGGUGACGUAGGUUCAUAGGGAUGAAGUGGUUGAAAACGUUAUUAAAUGAUGGCAUCUUGGAGUAGGUGAGAUGCUGAUGCUGGCAGUUUCAUUGCGGCGAUUGCUCCACCUGAAGCCCUCCCUUCUAGAGCUCGCGCUGGGUUCAAUGAUGCUGUGCAUAGGUUGGUGCUCAGUUCUGAUUAACUCCACUUAGCAAAUUCUUCCUCCGGAACCAGCGGCUUCUUUUCAGCAUCAGGAUGUUCCUUAAUGUAGCUGCCCCAUAUGUCAUCCUUGGCCGUGAUAUGCAUCACUAGGUUCAUCGUUGGUGAUGUCACCGGAUCCUUAAAGAAGCUCAUCACCAGAUCUUCAACUUUUGUCUUCUCCGAUGAGCUCAUCACUGCCAAUGCUUCUUUCCACUAGUAUGUCUAGAAGUGUUUUGACCAAGGCACAAUAGUCCCCCUCAACCGAAAAUAUUUAGGUUGCCCCUUAACCGAUAGAUAUUGAAUUCGCCAUGUCUCUUGCAGCAACUGCCAUCUCACGUGUGCCAAUUUCUCUAGUUUGGACCCACUUAUAAGCUUUUACCGGAAACAAUCGCGCCCAAUACUAAUAUAUUUGCACUUUUUAGGCAGUGGGGUGGUCAUAAACCAGGGUUCCCUUAUGCACUCACUAUCUGGACGAGCUACAAGGUGGAAAACCACCUCUGGUAUUAUGAGAUUGCAUGCAUGGGAACAACAAAAUGGGUAUGGAUGAGGGAGAGGUUUAGAGAGAGAAUUGAGUAUAGGGAUGAUGGGAAAUGGGUAUAGGGAUGAUGACCAGGUUUGCAUGGUCCCCAUGCACGUGGGUGAGUGAAUCUAGAACCUCCAUGUAGCCUAUGGAUGGAUUUUGGAGAUGUGCAAGGUGCAAGAGACAGGCUAUGGGUUGAUGGAACCAGUAGUGGGGAAUGAAGUGGGAUAAGGAGGUUUGAUGACGGAAGUUGAAGAUAGGUAUGGUGGGUAGAGAGAGAAAGUAUGGUGAUAGGAUAGAGACAUAAGAGUAGAGGUAGCUCGAGCAGUGAAAUAGGUAUGAAUGGGGUUCAAGGGGAAGGUAUGAUAAUGAGUUUGAUGGAUUCCAGAUAUGAGUGAUGGGUUUGAGGAUAGAUCAAAAGUCCUGAACACCAGGCUUCAAUGGAUCAACUAUGGACAAGACUCCUGCCAACUCUUCAUCAAAGAAUAUCAGAAAUCCAGUCUGAGCCAUUACUUCUGUUUCUGUCAACAUGCUCUUUGCUUCGAAUGGAACGACAAAGUUCAGGUCUGACCUCUGAUUCUUGUUGACCACUACGAUCUCUUUGUAGUGAACGAUGGCCUUCCCACCAUACCCAAUAAUAGAGACGGACCUUUUAAUUUCUAACCAGGUGAGCCUUGUUCAUUUGCUCUGCAUUUCUUGGUAUAUUCUACAAUAGCCUUGGCUGGUAGGUGCUUGAUAACGAAGACAACCAAUAAGGAGACCCCCACAGAGCAUCUCUUCUACACACAAAUAGGAUAUCAACAAAUUCCGAGUGGGGCUAUGGAGCCUCUCUUAAACCUCAUAGCAGAACUUUUUCACCCAAUCUUGGUCCAUUCCCACCAUGUUAGGUCGCUAUAAGAGUGCAUGGCCAAACCUGGGAUCUACUUUCUCUCCGCUUUUGCUUUGAACUGGGUCCAGACACAAAUAGUGGCCACAGAAAAGAAGAAUUCAUAGAAACAAAGCACAAAAGGAAAACAAAUAAAAAUGUCCUCAGAGGCUUCACUUCAUGGGUCGUCAGUGAGCCUUCCGAUUAGGUGAGAGUAACAACACCAAAUGCAACCACGGGUAUGAUUCUUGGUUAUUUAAAAAAAAAAUGGAGGCAAAGCAAACUGAGAUUACUAGCAAAUAGGAGUUUGAACCAUGUUUCAACAAGCAAUCAAGUGGCCUUCAUUAUCCACCCCAAGCAAGCCAAUCAACAUUCCAAUAUUAAUAGAAAACAGACAGCAGUAAUAGGAAUCUGAAACAAACAAUACACUUUUGGCAUCCAUACCUGGGAAUGUCCUCCUAUGGUAAGCUCCGGCUCAGCUUCAAAUACUUUGAAUCCUUCUAUCGAAACCAAAUGAAACUGAAGGAUCAGUCGAUCCUCCUCUACCCUCUAGAUGUACAGCUCUUUCUCACUCACUCUUCUGGAUCUCUCUUCUCCCAAGAAAAUCUCUACAAUGGCAAUGGAAGCUCUCCUCUCUCUGCAGAAGGAAAACUCUCUCCCUCUAAUAUCUCUCUCCCACAGCUUUCUCAUACGCCCUCCUCUUUGCCCCUUUCUCUAAAAUCCUAGCUCUGCUGCUUCCUUUCCAGAAUCCUUCCUCCAAAAACACCCAAACAAAAGCUCUCUCCCUUAAAGAUUUCCCUGACGCUUUCCUCAAGCAACCUCUCUGCCCAUAUCUCUUUUCUCCCCCGGGUUUGCCCCUCCAACAAUCUCUGCAGCCCAAGCUUUUCUUUCCCCAUCAAAAAUAUCUCCCAACAGCCAGGAAAGAGAGACCAAGCAGCUGGCCACCCCGCUCCUCUAACCGUCUGCAGCUUUUUGCAGAUUCUUUGGACACGUGUCGACCCUGAUUGGCCUUCAAAAGCACUACUCUGAUUCCAUGAUGGCCAAUCAGGGAUUGACAAGUGGAUGCUUAGGAUCGCGACACCUGGCCAAACAAGCUGCAUCAAAACAAGCCCCACAUGGGGGUCUACAAAUAAAUGCGGGGUCUACAAAAUGGCGACUCCACUGGGGAUCGUUAGAGGGUCAAGAUUGAACUUAAGAUGAAGCAAAUGUGGCGUUUGGUGAGUCGAUCAAUGGGUACUCAUCUCUUGAUUGCACAUUGAGGAUAUUUGAUGCAUGCUCGGAUUUUAUAUCCACUUGAGACUUUGACAUGUCGAUUGUGUUGAUUGAUUUAUCUUGAUUGAGGAUUCCGAUGCCAUGAUUUCUUCUAUGUUUCAUUGAUAUAUUCGUUUGAGACAUUGACAUGCUGGAUUAUUGAUGAUUGAUCUUAUUGCAUCGAUUAGCACAUAGAUUCUGAUUUUGCCAUGCUUGUUCUGAUCACUUCACAUGCAUACACUCACCACUGUAUAUCACUCGGCUUGACAUGUUGAUUCUCUGACUUGUAUAUUAUUUUGGUCAUCUUUGAGCGUGUUGUCUUUGUAUCAGUAUCCAUCUGAUUGCAGUAUUCUCGUUUAUCUUGUGUGUGUACAUUGAUGAUAUAUCUGAGAUUUGUUUGAUUGAGUGUUGCAUGACUACUCUCCUUUGCGUGAUUGCGUGCCGCUUGUCUGUGUGGGCCGCACAUAUAUCCCCUUACCUCCAACUCUCUUGGUUUCGGUCAUUCCUUUCAUCCCGGUUCUCACUAUUGCAAGUGUGAGACCUUCUGUGUGCUUGCUCUCUGACCGAGCCAGAGAUUAGGAGUAAGGUCUAGCGACAGGCUAUAUCGAUGUACGGGAGCAUCCUGGAGGUGACCGGCACACUGAUGUCGAGAGGAGUCCGAUCAUUGAAGACCUGUAUAGCCCGGAGCUAGGUUUCAUGGAUAUUUGUGAGGCCAGUAUGUUUCCUUUCUCGUUUUAGCUUCUUAGGGUUAUCGGAUGCACCCAUACCAUUCACUGCGCACUCUAGUUGACCAUUGAGCGUUGAAAGUUUGAGAGGUUUCACCAUAGGAAACCCCCUGGGAUGUCGAGGUAGUGCAUGUGUGGAAGUGAUGACCACCUUGCAUGGAAGCGCCCCGUCUUUUCUGAGGCGUGCAGAGGGUUGCGUACCGCUGGAGGGUAUGAUCGCUUCUGCUAGGGAUGUUUUAAAGUCCACCCUAUCCAUUUAGAACCACCUUGACCUUGUAGGUUGAGCUGUAGAUCCUUCGAUUAGGUUUCCCUCCCUACACGUGGGUGCAUUUGAGGGCUUUUCGUGCCUCUGUAGCCGUAGUUUUGGAUCCGAUUUUCCCUCUAUUUAGUCUCCAGUUGAGAGUGCACUGAGAUCAGGAUGAGAUCGAGUACGGUCAGACCGCUCAUCUUCACUUGGAUGCUUUGCUUGUCCCUGUUUAGAUUAUCUUUUCUUCUAUACAUUCCACGAGCCAUAUCCUUAUUCCGUUCUUCGUGCUUUCCAGGAUCGGACCUUUGUUCCUCGUCUUGAUAUACCUUUGUGGAUCAGAGCAGAGGAGGAGUACUUUCAGGAUCAGGAUUUUUACUCUCAGUCUAGGUAUAGUUUCGUGGAUCAGAGUAGAGGACAGAUUAGUUCGGGUUUCAGAUAUACCAGAUAUGGAUUAGCAGGUCGUCACGGUUGAUCAGUUCACGACCGCCAUGGCUUCUAUCCAAGAGGCUUUGGCUAGCCUCAGGCAGGAGAUCGGUGGUCAGCAGGGUAGACCACCAGCAGUUCAGGAUGAGGCGUCGUAUGACUCGCAUCCACCUCCACCACCCCUACUCGUUCCUUCAGUGCAUCGGCCUCACCCUAUAUACUACACGGGCACUCUGAGAUCGCUCCACCCGUAGUCGCCCAGGCCACUGUCGCUGAUGACACACAUGCGCGCAUGGACCGCAUCGAGCAGUGUAUGAGGCAGAUGAGAGUGUCAGAUGGAUCAGUUGUUUGGGAUGAUUUUGGGGGUAUGCCGGUAGCUAGUUUACCGGCUAAGUUCAGGAUGCCAGACAUCGAGAGAUAUACAUGCAUUGGUUGUCCGCGCCUCCACCUCAGACUUUAUAGCACCGUGAUGAGGGCUCAUGGACUAGACGAGCCUCAGAUGAUCACUCUUUUCCCCCUAUCUCUGAGUGGGGCGGCUCAGCGCUGGUUUGCGUCUUUGGAGUCCUCGAGACGCCGUACAUGGGAUGACUUGGCCUAGGAAUUCCUACGACAGUUUUCAUUUAACACUGUCGUAGACGUAUCGAGGAGAGAGCUCGAGGCUCUGAGGCAGAGGACAGAGGAGUCCGUUUCUUCUUUCAUUUCCCGCUGGCGCUGGAAGAUAGCUGAGAUAGUGCAUAGACCAUCAGAGAGAGACCAGAUUCAGAUGGUUUUGAGGAGCCUACAGCCGAGGAUCGCCAGACAUGUGGUCGGGGUCCCGUUCACAGAUUUUGGAUCUUUGGUUAUGGCUUUAUACGAUGUCGAGGACGACAUCUCGAGAGGAUUAUGGACAGAUUCUUCCCCUAGUGAUAUUAAGGGGAAGAAGACCUUUGUAGGACUGAGGUCGACAGAUGUUAGUGCUAUCAGUUCAUCCAGUCAGAGGCCUCUCAGACGCCAUCAGCUGACCCCACAGUUUUCCGAGCCUUAUUCUUCCUAUGCAUCUCAUCAGUACAGGCCACGGGCACCUCGUCCGGAUUUUGAUCAGACAUAUCAGGCUCAGCCAUUGGCUCUACCUUACUAUGCCACUCAGGGCAUCGAGAGGCCUCCUGUUUCAUACAUGGCCACUGGACAGCCAUGCUACGCUGUGCAGUUCACUCCGAGGCCCGCACCUUCAUACCCUAGGCCUCGAGCUCAACAGACCUCUGCACCUUUUGCUUUGAGGACGCAGAGACAGUUUUCACAGAUAGGCAUGCCGUUGAGCCAGACUCUUCGAAAGCUCACAGAGGCCGAUUUGUUGACUGCUCUCACCCCUCGACCACUACCUCAGCCGAUUCCAGCUCAGUUUAGGAUGGAUUUACACUGUGCUUAUCAUCAGGGGCCUGGACAUGAGACCGAUCGAUGCACUGCUCUGAGGCACGCUAUUCAAGAUCUGAUAGACUAGGGUUUGGUACACUUGGGUCAGCCGAGUGUGACCACAAACCCGUUGCCGACCCACACCACACAUGCAGUUCCUCCACCAGCCGGUGGUAUUCAUUUCUUGGACUUUGGUGAGACCGACGAUCAUGUCCAUAUGUUGAGUUGGGAUGAUUCAGACCCAGAUCCUAUCAUGCCAGCUGAGAUUUACGAGACGAGUGGGAUGACCCUAGAGCCACAGAUUCCUACUCCAUUCCGAUUAGUUCCUGAGGCAGCUUCUGUACAGACGGCCACUUCCGAGCCUCUGACAUUCACACACUAUAGCGUUCAGGCGCCGUACAUUCUGAUCCCAGAUGUUGAGGAGGUUCAGGCUCCACAUAGUGAUGAUCCUCAGACUCCGGACGUUCAGUAUAUUCUCCGGGGAGGAAGAGUAUUGAGACAGCCACCUCCAGCCGCUGCUGCUAGACCCUUAGGGGGUACGUCAUCCCAGGAAGAGGUCAGAGUAGAGGAUGACGAGAUUUUGAGGCAGUUGCAGAGCACUCAGGCUCGUAUUUCUAUCUGGAGCCUUUUAGCGUCUUCCAGUACUCAUCGGGAUGCACUGACUCGAGCUCUGAGGCAGAUCAGAGUUGAUACCACGACCACUCCCGAGGGACUCAUUCAUAUGAUGACGGCUGGCAGAGCCACUUGUAUCGUCUUUUCCGAUGACGACUUGCCACUGGAGGGCUCGGACUACACUCGUCCGCUCUACAUAUCUGUUGGUUGUUCAGGCCGCCGAGUCCCAUCUGUUCUUUUGGACAAUGGCUCGGCCCUGAACGUAUGUCCUCUUGCCACUGCCAUUGCCCUUGGAUACGCUCCUUCUGAUUUCGGUCCCUCCACUCAGACCGUUCGCGCAUAUGACAGUACUCGGAGGGAGGUCAUGGGUACAUUGGAGAUCGAGUUGCUGAUCGGUCCGGCCACUUUUGUCGCCGUAUUCCAGGUUUUGAGGAUUCCCACAUCCUUUAACCUGCUUCUAAGCCAACCAUGGAUCCAUAGAGCCGGGGCCAUCCCUUCUUCCCUUCAUCAGAAGGUGAAGUUUAUUCACGAUGGUCAGGUCGUCGUGGUACAGUCUGUAGGGGACAUGUUCAUUGCUACCGAGCCUAUGCUCGAGAUUAGUCACACUGAUGACGAUCUUUUUCUAACUGGAUUCACCUUCGAUGAGGUGCAAACCGUGGAGAUAGAGGAUUUCUGCCGAGAUUUUGUAGUCAUGUCCUUCGACCAGCACAACAGCACGGUGGUGCUCGAUAUUAUGCGGAACAUGUCUUAUCUUCCUGGCAUGGGAUUAGGGCAUCGUCAGCACGGGCCUCAUGAGUUCAUAGCCAUUCCUGAUCACGACGUACCGUUCGGACUCGGGUUCAUUCCUACUGAGGCCGAUUAUCUCUAUAUGGCGCGAUUGCGCAAGGAGAGGGUGAGGGCUCGACUGACUCAUACUCCUUUCUAUUAUCCUAUGCGUCCGUACACCAGGAGCCUAGCAAAUUACUUUGUGAAGGCAUCGGAGCCGCACGCACCAUCUAACGGGAUCAUCGGGAGGACUUAGCACCACUCAGGAAGUCGAGCUUCAGCGCCUCGUUCAGCAGUUACGAUUGAGAGACGGAGCCCUUGGCCCUUCGACUUCUGUGUCGAUCACUCCUUCUUCUCCGGAUCGCACGAGCCUCAUGAUGCUUUGUUUCCCUGACGAGAUCGACGAGCAUGAGACAUUUGCCGAGGUUGGGGAUAUAGUGGACGGAGCCGCCCCACAUGACGAGUAUAUCGAUGAGAUGCUUGCGAUGAGCCUGAGCCCGAUCGAGAAGAAAGUUCAGCCUGGGCUCACUUCACCAUUCGAUCUUUUCGGGGUGUCCUUCAUCAAGAUCGCUGAGGAGAUCCAGACUGCCCCUGCUCUGGGGAUUGUUGAGGAUGCUAUAGCUGUUGUUGAUUUGAUUGACGACCCUGUUGGUCUUGUUGAGGGAGUGUCCGAUUUUGUGGACUCACCUCUUUCAUUUGAUGUUUUAUCAGGAUUUGUCUCCCGUCCUGACUAUGUUUCCGACCUUUCAUCUAUGGAUUUGAGCAUAUUUGAGUAUUUGCCUAUGUCUCGUGAUAUUGCUUUAUUUGUACCAUCUUCACCCACAUCACAGAUAUUUGACAUAGAUGAUGAGAUUGCACAACAUGAUUCAGAUGAUGAUUCAUCUCCCGAUUCCGAUUCAGACCUCAUCGAUCAGAGAGUUUCACCUGCUGUAGGAGACACAGAGAUCGUUGACUUUGGCACAGCGGAUCAGCCUAGGGAGUUGAGGAUCGGGUCAGAUUUAUCUACAGAUGAGAGAGAUAGCCUCAUCCAGUUGCUCAGAUCCUACUUGGACGUUUUCGCAUGGUCCUAUGAGGACAUGCCGGGCCUUGAUCCAUCCAUCGUCCAGCAUCGUUUGCCACUUCUGCCCCACGCCAGACCGGUUAAGCAGAAGUUGAGACAAUUGCACCCUCGUUGGAGUUUGCAGGUGAAAGAGGAGAUUCAGAAGCAGCUCAGUGUAGGAUUUCUAUCAGUGGUCGAGUACCCGGAGUGGCUAGCCAAUGUCGUCCCUGUUCCUAAAAAGGACGGCAAAGUGAGAGUCUGUGUUGAUUUCCAAGAUCUCAACAAGGCCAGUCCUAAGGAUGAUUUUCCUCUCCCACACAUUGACAUGUUAGUUGACAGUACAGCAGGUCACUCGAUGUUAUCCUUUAUGGACGGAUUUUCCGGGUACAGUCAGAUCUUGAUGGCUCCAAAGGACAUGGAGAAGACGUCCUUCAUUACCGAGUGGGGUACUUAUUGCUAUAGAGUCAUGUCAUUUGGAUUGAAGAACGCAGGAGCCACAUAUCAGAGAGCAGCGACCACACUCUUCCAUGACAUGAUGCAUCGGGAUGUCGAGGUUUACGUAGACGACAUGAUAGUGAAAUCCCGAGAUAGAUCAGAUCACUUGGCAGCUCUUGAGAGGUUCUUUGAGAGGAUCAGACAGUUCAGAUUGAGACUGAAUCCCAAGAAGUGCACUUUCGGAGUAACUUCUGGGAAAAUUUUAGGAUACAUGGUCAGUGAGCGAGGCAUAGUGGUAGAUCCGGACAAGAUUAGAGCCAUCCUUGACAUGCCUGCACCGAGGACAGAGAGAGAGGUCAGAGGCUUCCUAAGUAGACUUCAGUACAUCAGUAGAUUCAUAGCCAGAUUGACAGACAUUUGUGAGCCCAUUUUCCGACUCUUGAGGAAGAGUCAACCUACUAUUUGGGAUGAUCAGUGUCAACGCGCAUUCGAGAGGAUCCGAGAGUACUUGUUGUCGCAUCCAGUUUUGGCGCCGCCUACACCAGGCCGUCCUCUACUCCUAUACAUAUCAGUUUCGGACGUGGCUUUGGGUUGCAUGUUAGCUCAGUUCGAUGAUUCGGGCAAAGAUCGAGCCAUUUAUUAUCUGAGUAAGAGGAUGCUAGACUACGAGACGAGAUAUGUCAUGAUUGAGCGCUACUGCUUGGCAUUGGUUUGGGCCACUCGCCGACUGAGACACUACAUGACAGAGUAUUCAGUGCAUUUGAUAUCCCGUCUAGAUCCUCUGAGAUAUUUGUUUGAUAGACCCGCCCUAGUUGGUCGCCUCAUGAGAUGGUUGGUACUUCUGACUGAGUUUGACAUCCAUUAUGUCACUCAGAAGUCCAUCAGAUGGAGCAUUAUCGCAGAUCACUUAGCCUCAUUACCAGUUUUUGAUGCCAGAGCUAUUGAUGAUGAUUUUCCAGACGAGGAUGUCGCAGCUGUGACUAGUCUGUCGGGUUGGCGCAUGUACUUUGAUGGUGCAGCCAACCAUUCUGGAUACGGGAUAGGCGUCUUGUUGAUAUCCCCUCAUGGUGAUCACAUUCCUAGAUCUGUUCGUUUGGCAUUCUCGGAUAGACAUCUUGCCACGAACAACAUUGUUGAGUAUGAGGCUUGUAUCUUGGGAUUAGAGACAGCCCUCGAGCUCGUGAUUAGACAGAUGGAGGUGUUUGGUGACUCCAAUUUGGUAUUGAGACAGAUUCAGGGCGAGUGGAAGACUAGAGAUGUGAAGCUUAGGCCUUACCACUCGUAUUUGGAGCUACUGGUCGGGAGAUUCGAUGAUUUGAGAUAUACCCAUUUGCCUAGAGAGCAGAACCAAUUUGCUGAUGCCUUAGCUACUCUGGCUUCCAUGAUUGUCAUACCUACUGACGCCACUGUUCGCCCAUUGUUGAUCGAGUCGAGAUCUGCUCCUGCUUAUUGUUGUUUGAUUGAUGAUGUAGAGCCAGAUGAUGGUUUGCCAUGGUACCAUGACAUAUAUCACUUUUUGAGACUCGGUGUAUAUCCUGAGGCCGCCACAGCCAAGGAUAGGAGAGCAUUGAGACAGUUGGCCACCCGAUUCGUGAUUUGCGGCGAGACGCUAUAUAGACGAUCACUUGACGGGAUGCUAUUGUUGUGUUUGGACCGCGCCUCUGCCGAUCGAGUGAUGAGAGAGGUUCAUGCGGGAGUCUGCGGACCACAUAUGGGGGGACAUAUGUUGGCUCGUAAGAUCAUGAGGACAGGAUACUUCUGGUUGACCAUGGAGACGGAUUGCUGCCAGUUUGUUCAGAGAUGUCCCGAGUGUCAAGUACACGGAGAUCUCAUUCACGUGCCGCCCUCAGAGUUGCAUGCAUUGACUUCACCAUGGCCGUUUUCAGUGUGGGGUAUCGAUAUCAUCGGGAAGAUUUCGCCGAAAUCUUCCAGUGGUCAUGAGUUUAUCCUUGUUGCUAUUGAUUACUUUACCAAGUGGGUGGAGGCCGCCUCAUAUGCGAGAUUGACAUCAGCUAGAGUUGCCAGUUUCAUCAGAUCACAUAUCAUUUGUCGCUAUGGAGUCCCUCAUGAGUUGAUUUCGGAUAGAGGGGUACAUUUCAGAGCAGAGGUUGACACCUUAGUGCAGCGUUACAGCAUCCGGCAUCAUAGAUCUUCUACAUACAGGCCGCAGACGAAUGUGGCAGUAGAGGCCGCGAACAAGAAUAUCAAGAGGAUUUUGCGGAAGAUGGUUGAGACUUCUUGGGAUUGGUCAGAGAAGCUCCCUUUUGCAUUGUGGGCAUAUCGGACUUCUUUUCGCACCUCUACAUGAGCCACACCAUACUCAUUGGUAUAUGGCAUGGAGGCAAUGCUACCCGUUGAGAUUGAGAUGAGAUCAUUGAGAGUAGCACUAGAGCAGCAGAUUCCCGAGACGGAUUGGGCUCAGGCUCGAUUUGAUCAGCUCAAUCUCCUAGAUGAGAGGAGAUUGAGAGCAGCAGACCACGUUCGUGCAUAUCAUAGGAAGAUGGCCCGCGCUUUCAAAAAGCGGGUCAAGCCGAGACCAUUACAUAUAGGUGAUUUAGUCUUGAGAGUCAUCAGGGGAUUGAUCAGAGAUCCGAGAGGGAAGUUCAGACCUAGUUGGAGCGGACCUUAUUUCAUCAAGGAGUUGACUCCAGAGGGCUCUGCAUGGUUGAUGGAUUUGGAUGGAAACCAGUUCUCAGAGCCGACCAAUGUGGAUUAGCUAAAGAGGUACUAUGUUUGAGACCAUGGCCGCAGGAUGGGUGGCCAUCAUUUCGGUUAGCUAUAUCCCUUUAUCCCCGUUCUGAUAUAUAUAGACUAUUGCUAGCCCAUUGAGCCUCGCACGCGCAUUAUAACCUUUCUUUCUUGUUGCCUUGCUCAUAUUUUCACACCGGGAUAGGGGCCCUCUAGUGUAUGCAUGCAUUGUUUAGGAGUUUCAUGAGCCUUGGACCUAGGGAUGCAUUCUCCUCAUUAUAUUCUCUAUAUGUUUGCAUCACUGCAUUUUCAUCUCACCUCAUCUGUUGUAUUAUUCGUCUCAUCUUGUUUAUCCUAUCUACUGCUCAUUUGCAUCAUUUUCUUCCACCCCGAGUGGUGAUCCUCCUCAGUUCACUACAUGGAGGGUAGUCAUGUCAUUUCCACUAUCCAUCCUACGGACGUUGGUCCAGGGAUCGUUAGUUUGAGAAGGUCACAUCAUCAGAGAGAGUUCAUGUUACAUUGACAUUUGAGAGUAUGUUAUCCUUUUUUGAUGUUAUCUUUGGGAUUUAUGGGUUUGCAUUCAGGGCAUGUAUACUUAUGUUAAAAAAAAAAAAAAAAAAAAGACGCUUAUGUGUAUUUAUUUUCUAUCAUUGUGUAUGUUGAUGUUCGGGGGUCAUCUGAUUGAUUAUGUUUGUUGAUGAGAGUUCGUAUGUGAGCUUUCCGAGACCCUUCAUUAUUUGUAUUCAUUUUUGUUAUAUGUUUUGAGAGUGAGAUGAGUGACUUUCUCUUAGGAGCUCUGGGUCAUCGUCCAUUCCAUCAUUGCAUUCGUUAUUGACAUGACUUCCUUGCAUAUUUGAUUUGAGCGGAUUAUCACUCAUUCUCAUGUUCAGUGCUUCAUCAUCAUCAUCCUCGUUUUCACUCCUGAUUCAUCGUUUUCAUUCCACAUUUUAGUUUUUUCUUACAGUGACCCAUUUUCGGGUUUGAUAUUCUCUUCACAUCACCAUUAUACAUCUCAUUAUUAGUUUGAUCUAUUUCAUUUGUCUCCUCAUCGACACCACGUUCACAUUAGGCACCAUUGGGUCCCUGGCUCAUGGGAUUUGCUAUACUUGCUGCAUUUCAUACAUGAGGGCAUGGAUUUUGAUCAUCGGGUAUUUGAGCUUAGUUUCCCUUCGUUUCUAUCACCCUAUCACCCUAGCCUACAUUACGUCCCGUGUCUUAAGACCACCCUGAGGCCAUGGGAUCAGAUAUCGUCUUCUACGGUUUCUAUGUGGACAGGUGUUUGAGAUUCGGUUGACAUCUAGAUAUUUGCUAUGCAUCUUCUUCUGGGAGACACUUCUCGGAUGUUUAGAUCCGUUUCGACCGUGUUUGGAUUACCAAGAUCACGUGUUUGAUGAGGGAUGAUUCGAUGUCACCUGUUUUUCCUGAUUUGUCGCACGUCAGAUGCCAUACUGGGGCAUAUUCCGUUUCGGAGGAUCUUUAUGGAUCUUCGCAGAGGUCAUAUAUUCGAGGAUAGAUGAUUCCAUGCUAUCUGAUCUCCGACCUAUCAUACAUUUUGAUGCCAUACAGGGGCAUAUUUCCGUUCGGAUGAGAUUUACAGAUCAUGAGGGAGUUGCGUGCUUAUCCUUAUUUGCGAGAUGUAUGCAGGGAUGAUGAUAUAUUCGCUAUCCUCGCGAUGAUUCCUUAGUGGAGCCUAUCGAGAGCCAUCUAGCCAGGUCCGCGCUUUUAGAUGCUUAGAUGUCGUCAUGCUUCCUUCCGAGGGACACCUCUUUGAUAUGUGGGUUUGCUUCAGUUGCAGGCAUAGAUGAUUUGAGCUCAUCUGAUUUUUCGACAUGUUACAUUUUCGAUGCCACACUGGGGGCAUAUUCCCCAUCUUGAUCGAGAUUUAUAGAUCCUCACUGGUUUACAUGAUCAUCCACGGUUAUGAGAUACACGCCGGGUUGAUGAUUGAUUUCAUUUUGUCCUGAUACUCCGAGGAGCUUCUCUUGAGUCGUUCAGCCAGAUUCUUACUCUUUGAUAUAGUCGUGGUUCUGGGACGAAGUUAUGUCGAGUGCUUGGAUUCCCAAAUCAUUAUUUCAGUGCGGUACACAUCAGGUCUUUUACGCAUCCCCAUGGUGUUAUUCUCGGGUCAUCAGGGUGGAUCGGGUACAUCUGAUGCCAUACUAGGGCAUAUUUCCCUCCUUUAGCCAUGGAGAUGAUCGUUCUCUCACAAACCCGUUAUAGUUUUCGUCACUCAGCCGAGGAAUAUUGUAUUCUCCUCACUAACCAUUAUUCCUGAGCUCUUCAUCAAGAUGAGCUCUCAGUGGUGCAUCAUUCGAGACUCUUAGAGUCCCUUUUAGCCAUUUCUAGCAGUUUGAGAUUUGCAGCGGCAUGCCACACUGGGGUAUAUUUCCCCCUCAUUGUUUCCUUGCAGUCUGGCGUUCAGAGCCGUCGUUCAUUCACGGUUUACGACAUUCUGAGUCAACAUGUCACAUUUUUCAGUUCGGCGUUCAGAGCCACCAUCACUUUUUAGUUUCGGCGUUCAGAGCCAUCACCGCUUCUCAGUUUCUGCGUUCAGAGUCAUCAUUGUGUUCUCAGUUCGACGUUCAGAGUCAUCAUCAUUACUUUUCAGCUUCGGCGUUCAGAGCCAUCAUUGUCGCUUUUCAGUUUCGGCGUUCAGAGCCAUCAUCGGUUUUUUGAUCGACGUUCAGAGUCGCGUUCUCAGUUUCGGUGUUCAGAGCCAUCCUCACUUUUUAGUUUCGGCGUUCAGAGUCAUCACUGUGUGUUCAGUUCGACGUUCAGAGCCAUCAUCGGUUUUCAGAUCGGCGUUCAGAGUCAUCCUCACUUUUUAGUUUCGGCGUUCAGAGCCAUCACCGUGUUUUCAGUUCGACGUUCAGAGCCAUCAUCGGUUUUUAGAUCGACAUUCAGAGUCACAUCCUCGGUUUCGGCGUUCAGAGUCGUUAUCACUUUUCAGUUUGACAUUCAGAGUCAUCAUCAUCACUUUUCAGUUUCAGCGUUCAGAGCCAUCAUCGGUUUUCAGAUCGACAUUCAGAGUCGCAUCCUCGGUUUCGGAAUUCAGAGUCGUUAUCACUUCUCAGUUUGACAUUCAGAGUCAUCAUCAUCACUUUUCAGUUUUGGCGUUCAGAGCCAUCAUCGGUUUUCAUAUCGACAUUCAGAGUCGCAUCCUCGGUUUCGGCGUUCAGAGUCGUUAUCACUUCUCAGUUUGACGUUCAGAGUUAUCAUCAUCACUUUUUUGUUUAGGCUUCCAGAGCCAUCACCGUCACUUUUUAGUUUAGGCUUCCAGACCCAUCACCGUCUUCUUGUUUAGGCUUCCAGACCCAUUACUGUCAUCUUGUUUAGGCUUCCAGAGCCAUUACUGUCAUCUUGUUUAGGUUUCUAGAGCCAUUACUGUCAUUUUGUUUAGGCUUCCAGAGCCAUUACCGUCAUCUUGUUUAGGCUUCCAGAGCCAUUACCGUCAUCUUGUUUAGGCUUCCAGAGCCAUUACCGUCAUCUUGUUUAGGCUUCCAGAGCCAUUACUGUCAUCUUGUUUAGGCUUCUAGAGCCAUCACCGUCAUCUUGUUUAGGCUUCCAGAGCCAUUACCAUCAUCUUGUUUAGGCUUCCAGAGCCGUUACUGUCAUCUUGUUUAGGCUUCCAGAACCAUUACCGUCAUCUUGUUUAGGCUUCCAGAGCCGUUACUGUCGUCUUGUUUAGGCUUCCAGAGUCGUUACUGUCGUCUUGUUUAGGCUUCCAGAGCUGUUAUUUUCUAGUUUAGCUUUUAGAGUUAGUUUUUGAUUUGGCUUCCAAAGCUGUUAUUUUCUUGUUUAGUUUUUAGGGCUAUUUUUUUGGUUGGCUUCCAGAGCUAUUUGUUUUCUAGUUUGACUUUUAGAGUUAGUUUUUGGUUGGCUUCCAGAGCUGUUAUUUUCUAGUUUAGUUUUUAGAGUUAGUUUUUGGUUGGCUUCCAGAGCUGUUAUUUUCUAGUUUAGUUUUUAGAGUUAGAUUUUGGUUGGCUUCCAGAGUUGUUAUUUUUUAGUUUAGCUUUUAGAGUUAGUUUUUUUGGUUGGCUUUCAGAGCUGUUAUUUUCUAGUUUAGCUUUUAGAGUUAGUUUUUUUGGUUGGCUUCCAGAGCUGUUACUUUCUAGUUUAGCUUUUAGAGUUAGCUUUUUGGUUUGGCUUCUAGAGCUGUUACUUUCUUGUUUAGUUUUUGGAGUUAGUUUUUUUGGUUGGCUUCUAGAGCUAUUUGUUUUCUAGUUUGGCUUUUAGAGUUAGUUUUUGGUUGGCUUCCAGAGCUGUUAUUUUCUAGUUUAGUUUUUAGAGUUAGUUUUUUGGUUGGCUUCUAGAGCUAUUUGUUUUCUAGUUUGGCUUUUAGAGUUAGUUUUUGAUUGGCUUCCAAAGCUGUUACUUUCUAGUUUAACUUUUAGAGUUAGUUUUUGGUUUAGCUUCCAAAGCUGUUACUUUCUAGUUUAGCUUUUAGAGUUAGUUUUUGGUUUGGCUUCUAGAGCUGUUGUUUUCUAGUUUAGCUUUUAGAGUUAGUUUUUGGUUUGGCUUCCAGAGCUGUUAUUUUCUAGUUUAGCGUUUAGAGUUAGUUUUUGGUUUGGCUUCCAGAGCUGUUGUUUUCUAGUUUAGCUUUUAGAGUUAGUUUUUGGUUUGGUUUUCAGAGCUGUUAUUUUCUAGUUUAGCGUUUAGAGUUAGCUUUUUGGUUUGGCUUCCAGAGCCAUCGUUUUUCUCAGUUUAGCGUUUAGGGUCAAUCCUGUCAUUCAGAGUCACAGCUCCUAGCGUUCAUAUUCACUGGCACUGCGCAUCUUACUUUCAUGAUUUUGCAUUCUUCCUCGGUUUUUCCUCACUUCGUUACCCCGUGCUUAUCGCCUAUUCAUCUCGUAGUCCACAUAGGGCAGUCUCCUUUAGACGUAUUCUUGUUCGUACUCUAGGGUGGUUCGACCAUUACUCAUCUUUGACGUCGAUCUUCGAGUCACUUUUGGAGACAUCUUAGAGGGAGCCUGGAUCCUUAGUGUGGCUUCAGAGGCAUUUUGAGACAUCUUUCUCCUCCAGGAUUAGAGCCUCGUUGUUCAUCUGUUAGUCUGAGUGAGUUCGUAUCUCACUCGUAUCCUUAUGGGGGUCUCUUUGGAUUCUUCGGUAGAGUUCACUUCAUUACACUCACUAGUCACACUUGCUUUUCAUUCUAGUGUUCAUGUUCCUUACACUUGUGAACUCUACCGAAGAGGGGCAUAUUUGUAGACCCCCAUAUGGGGCUUGUUUUGCUGCAGCUUGUUUGGCCAGGUGUCGCGAUCCUAAGCAUCCACUUGUCAAUCCCUGAUUGGCCAUCAUGGAAUCAGAGUAGUGCUUUUGAAAGCCAAUUAGGGGUCGACACGUGUCCAAAGAAUCUGCAAAAAGCUGCAGACGGUUAGAGGAGCGGGGUGGUUAGCUGCUUGGUCUCUCUUUCCUGGCUGUUGGGAGAUAUUUUUUAGGGGGAAAGAAAAGCUUGGGCUGCAGAGUAGUGGUGCAGGGGGGUGGCUGUUGCUGCAGAGAUUGUUGGAGGGGCAAACCCUGGGGAGAAAAGAGAUAUGGGCAGAGAGGUUGCUUGAGGGAGGCGUCAGGGAAAUCUUUAAGGCAGAGAGCUUUUGUUUGGGUGUUUUUGGAGGAGGGAUUCUGGAGAGGAAGCAGCAGAGCUAGGAUUUUGGAGAGAGGGGCAAAGAGGAGGGCGUAUGAGAAAGCUGUGGGAGAGAGAUAUUAGAGGGAGAGAGUUUUCCUUCUGCAGAGAGAUGAGAGCUUCCAUUGCCAUUGUAGAGAUUUUCUUGAGAGGAGAGAGAUCCAGAAGAGUGAGUGAGAAAGAGCUGUACGUCUAGAGGGUAGAGGAGGAUCGACUGAUCCUUCAGUUUCAUUUGGUUUCGUUAGAAGGAUUCAGAGUAUUUGAAGCUGAGCCGGAGUUUACCAUAGGAGGACAUUCCCAGGUAUGGAUGCCAAAGGUGUAUUGUUUGUUUCAGAUUCCUAUUAUUGCUGUCUGUUUUCUAUUAAUAUUGGAAUGUUGAUUGGCUUGCUUGGGGUGGAUAAUGAAGGCCACUUGAUUGCUUGUUGAAACAUGGUUCAAACUCCUAUUUGCUAGUAAUCUCAGUUUGCUUUGCCUCCAUUUUUUUUUUAAAUAACCAAGAAUCAUACCCGUGGUUGCAUUUGGUGUUGUUACUCUCACCUAAUCGGAAGGCUCACUGACGACCUGAAGUGAAGCCUCUGAGGACAUUUUUAUUUGUUUUCCUUUUGUGCUUUGUUUCUAUGAAUUCUUCUUUUCUGUGGCCACUAUUUAUGUCUGGACCUAGUUCAAAGCAAAAGCGGAGAGAAAGUAGAUCCCAGGUUUGGCCAUGCACUCUUAUAGGGACCUAACAUGGUGGGAAUGGACCAAGAUUGGGUGAAAAAGUUCUGCUAUGAGGUUUAAGAGAGGCUCCAUAGCCCCACUGGGAAUUUGUUGAUAUCCUAUUUGUGUGUAGAAGAGAUGCUAUGUGGGGGUCUCCUUAUUGGCUGUCUUCGUUAUCAAGCACCUACCAGCCAAGGCUAUUGUAGAAUAUACCAAGAAAUGCAAAGCAAAUGAACAAGGCUCACCUGGUUAGAAAUUAAAAGGCCCGUCUCUAUUAUUGGGUAUGGUGGGAAGGCCAUCGUUCACUACAAAGAGAUCGUAGUGGUCAACAAGAAUCAGAGGUUAGACCUGAACUUUGCCGUUCCAUUCGAAGCAAAGAGCAUGUUGACAGAAACAGAAGUAAUGGCUCAGACUGGAUUUCUGAUAUUCUUUGAUGAAGAGUUGGCAGGAGUCUUGUCCAUAGUUGAUCCAUUGAAGCCUGGUGUUCAGGACUUUUGAUCUAUCCUCAAACCCAUCACUCAUAUCUGGAAUCCAUCAAACUCAUUAUCAUACCUUCCCCUUGAACCCCAUUCAUACCCAUUUCACUGCUCGAGCUACCUCUACUCUUAUGUCUCUAUCAUAUCACCAUACUUUCUCUCUCUACCCACCAUACCUAUCUUCAACUUCCGUCAUCAUACCUCCUUAUCCCACUUCAUUCCCCACUACUGGUUCCAUCAACCCAUAGCCCGUCUCUUGCACCUUGCACAUCUCCAAAAUCCAUCCAUAGGCUACAUGGAGGUUCUAGAUUCACUCACCCACGUGCAUGGGGACCAUGCAAACCUGGUCAUCAUCCCUAUACCCAUUUCCCAUCAUCCCUAUACUCAAUUCUCUCUCUAAACCUCUCCCUCAUCCAUACCCAUUUUGUUGUUCCCAUGCAUGCAAUCUCAUAAUACCAGAGGUGGUCUUCCACCUUGUAGCUCGUCCAGAUAGUGAGUGCAUAAGGGAACCCUGGUUUGUGACCACCCCACUGCCUAAAAAGUGCAAAUAUAUCAGUAUUGGGCGCGACUGUUUCCGGUAAAAGCUUAUAAGUGGGUCCAAGCUAGAGAAAUUGGCACACGUGAGAUGGCAGUUGCUGCAAGAGACAUGGCGAAUUCAAUAUCUAUCGGUUAAGGGGCAACCUAAAUAUUUUCGGUUGAGGGGGACUGUUGUGCCUUGGUCAAAACACUUCUAGACAUACUGGUGGAAAGAAGCAUUGGCAGUGAUGAGCUCAUCGGAGAAGACAAAAGUUGAAGAUCUGGUGAUGAGCUUCUUUAAGGAUCCGGUGACAUCACCAACGAUGAACCUAAUGAUGCAUAUCACGGCCAAGGAUGACAUAUGGGGCAGCUACAUUAAGGAACAUCCUGAUGCUGAAAAGAAGCCGCUGGUUCCGGAGGAAGAAUUUGCUAAGUGGAGUUAAUCAGAACUGAGCACCAACCUAUGCACAGCAUCAUUGAACCUAGCGCGAGCUCUAGAAGGGAGGGCUUCAGGUGGAGCAAUUGCCGCAAUGAAACUGCCAGCAUCAGCAUCUCACCAACUCCAAGAUGCCAUCAUUUAAUAACGUUUUCAACCACUUCAUCCCUAUGAACCUACGUCACCAUUGUCUUCAUUCUCCUUUACUCCCCUUGUGUUUCUUUGCGCUCCGUUCUUUCUAUGUGAACACUGAUUUUCUGGCAGCAUGUUAUAGUACGUCAUAGAGGUGAUCAAAGCAAUUGCCAGGCCAGGGUUAGCAACAGCGGAAAGUGCUGCCAUAGGAGCCAACCAAAAUAGCUACAGUUAUAAUCAACUCAUUUCAUCUGCAGGGAAGAUAUUUAAUCUGGUAUAUAAUGGUGACAUAGAACCUACUUAUGGCAUGAGCAACGCAGAUAUUCAAGAAAUGGACAUCUUGGUGGUGUUCAAAUAGGAAUUGUGGCUAAACCUUCAGUUGAGUUUGUUGUUGGAAUAUUAAGAAUUUGGUUUAGUAGAGGUGUUGCGGAUCCGUUUGCGUUUAGCUAUCCAGAAGCUGAGUUCUUACAUGUGAUGAAUGAUGCAGAUGUGUCCAUGAUUUUGAGUACAGAAGAUUAUCACAUGAUUUUGAUAUAUUCUGGAACAAUCACAUGUGCGGUUGAGAAGGUGGCAGGCUCGAUAGCAGAGGAUAUAAUUGUCACCUAUAUGAGAAAGUCAAAUGAGCCAAAUAGAGUUUGAAGCAGCUGGUCAUCUAAACAAGGCAUUCACGAAUAUGGCACCCUUGAGGGGUCUCAUUCUGCAGUAGAGUCAUCAUGUGAUUAGAAGGCCUUUCGGUUUAGUAACAGUAAUUGUGACGUGGUGGAAGGGAAAAUAUGAAAGAUCCGUUUCAAAUGGUGGAGCCCACGCCUCGGCCAAGCAUCAUUCCUCCCUGGGUCCACCUCUGCAUACUCUCAACUUGAAGAUGGUUUCUUGAACCCUGAUUGGUACAUUUUUUUUGGAAAUUUCGGUUUUUGAACAAUUUCAAAUCUCCCAGAUUUUUCAUCCUUCCCAUUUUUAAGUUUUCAAAAAUCCACUUUCAAUAAAGUUUUGUUGCCAUUUUUCUUUCUAGCAAAUAAUUUUCCCAAUUCCAUGAUUUUAAAACGUUUCAAAAUAAGCAAGAAUUAAUUUCGUAAUUUCGAAUACUGGAAUUUAUGGAAUUAAUUCAUGCUAAAAUAAAUGGGCUUUGGUGGGGGCCCUACAUAUGAGACUUCAUGAUUGAUUGAUUGAUUGAUUGAUUUAAUUGCCAUGAAUGAUGGAUUUUAUUAUGCUCUGUGACGUAUCUCGUGAUUGUUAUUAUGCACUAACCUCCUCUCUUGAUAGCGCAUGGUGGCCCGUUGGUCAGGUACACACCUAUUCUCACUCUCGUCACUCUAUAUACAUGUAUUGAUUCCCAUAUGUGCAUGAUCAAUUCGGGUAUUCAUUGAUUUCUUUAUUAGAUAUCACGUCAGCUUCAUUCUAUUAGUAGAGACCCGACUUUAGGGACUUAGAGGGGUGCUACGGUCUUUACCGUACCUUCCCGAUAAGUAACCUGACCCCCAAACUCGAUCCGGUUUUUCGUAGAUCACCUUUUCCAAAAUAAGGAGUCACACUUAGGGUUUUUCUUUCUUAUUUUGUUUACCCUUUAAAAAUAAAACAAAAAUAAGUGGCGACUCCAAGUCAUUUUUCUUAAUCAAUAAAAAUCGAGCUCGCCAUCGAGUGGGAAACGCAUUGAGCCGAAAUGCGGGGUCCACAAUAGGAUUUUAAUUUUCUUUUAUCCUUUUUUUCUUCUAUUUUUUAUUUUAUUUUAUUUCUCUCAAUUUUUAUUUUUUUUAAAAAAACAUAAGAAAAUGAUAGAAGUUUAGCUUCAUUUUACUUAGAAAACUAUGAUAAAAGUUGAAAAAAGUGGUUGCUCAUGAAUUUAAUUUGAGUCUGUUUAAUAAUUGUUUUUGAAAACUGUUCUCUAAUAAUUUGUACAAAUAAAGUUUGUUUAGAAGCUUAAAAUGUUUUUAAUAAUUUUAAAAAUAUUUUUUUAUGUUUAGCGUUUUAAUUUUAAUCAUUCUACAUUUUUUUAUAAUUAUUUUUUAAAAUAGUCAAUAAAAAACAAGUGAAAAUAAUAUAAUACAACUAAAAUGAUGUUUCCUAAAACCACCUUACUUUUAGAAAUCAGAAAAUAACUUUUAGUUCUUAAACGAACUUUUUGGGUUUUUUUGUUUUAAAGAACAAAAAAUUAUCCUAAAAAAAGUCCCAAAACCAACCAUUUAUUACUCAACUUUUACAUAAAUAAUAAAAUAGGGAAAAGUUUUGUAAAUAUUCAUUUUUUUCUUUUUAUUUUUUCUAUGACAUAAUAUUUUUAUUACAAAACGUUAAUUGAAAAUCCAUUUCCCAAUUAAGAUUAUGGAUGAAUAUUAAUCAUCUAAUCAUUUCUGUAAAAUGCCAGUACAGCGUUUUAAAUACGUCUGUGGGAUGAGUCAAACGGCGCCGUUUAAGCGCAGUAAUGAGUCGAUGACUAUACUAUAAAAUAAGGGUGCGUUUGGGAGAAGGUAGGCGUCCCACGGUUUUAGUAUCUCUGCUGCUCGUCCCCUGAAACUAAAGUCAACAAGAGGGAAGAAGCAGAAGAAGAAGAAGAUGAAUCAAUGAUGGCAGCAGAAUCAAUGAUGGCAAAACUCUACCCCUGGCACCAAGUUGCUGCUGUCUCUGGUAAACCCACAAUUUAUCUUUCCUUCUCUGUCUGUAUUCAUAUGCGUGAAUGAAUCUGAAGAAGGGCAUUUGUGAAAAUCAUUGAAACAGGAGCUGUAGGUAUUGGGUUGGGUGCCUUUGGUGCCCAUGUCUUCAAGCCCCAAAACCCUAUUUACAAAGAGGUAUGUUUUUAUCCUUUUAAUUUUUAACUGUAAUCCCUGUGUUUGGCUGCUCAGAAAACGGAGGAAAGGAGGCUAAAUUUUGAGCCUUACCCAUCUCAAUUAGGCUCAUUUUAUGUCAGUAUGUUAAUGGAAAAUUUAUAAUUCAAAACUCUGGUUCAUUUCUUUUUCCUCUGUGACCAAACGAAGGCCAUAUCAUUUCAAUCCAUUGAAGUUAGUAUACAUAUUUUAUAUUAAUUUGAUGAUCCCUUUUUGUGGAUAAAAUGAAGGUUUGGAAAACGGCAUCCUUAUACCAUUUGGUUCAUACGGCAGCUUUGCUUGCUACCCCUGUUACCAAGCAUCCCAAUAUUGUGAGUUCCCCCUGUCAAUUUAUUCCCAAAUUCCCUUUAGUUUCAAGUUUAUAUUUUGUGAAUUCUGUGAUGGGUGUGGAUCAUAAUUUAUCAAUUAUUAAGAGUUCUUUUUCAUGUAUCUUGUUGUAGUUUGGAGGUCUUGUGACAGCUGGAAUUCUCGCAUUUUCAGGAUCGUAAGCACAGUUUUCUCUUCUUAGAUAUGUAUGAUGUUAAUUCAAUUGUACUGCAUCCAUUGAAAAGAAUUUGAGAUUUUAAAGUCCAGUCACAAAACUGGGUGGUAGAAAAUGCUUGGUCUGAUAUCUGCCGAGUUUGCUAGUCAAAUGAAGCUGAAAAUCAUGAUGAGAAAGAUUUUAUGCAUUCUGCAAUUGGUUUAAGGGUCACAAACAGUGGAGGUAGAAACCAAGGGAUGAUUUAAAUCGUAAAAGUGGCACAUUAACUUGGUAAUUGAGAUGAGAAUGCUUAACAUCUCUUCUGGGACUGACCAAUCUGUUUGUACCCUUUAUGAGCCUUCAUAGGUAAACAAACUUCAACUGAAUUGAUGUUUUGUUUUCACUCUUGUAUAAACCAGCAUGAAAUUUCACAGACUGAUUCAUGUCUGUAGUGAGCAGAGUUCGAUCUGGAGUAAACAUAGGUCUUUGUCACAGAAUGAUGAUACCAUAGUUUAACCAUCCAAUCAGAGACUUCUGUCAAUUGAAAAUUUUAAAGUUCAUUACUCUUUUAAUGUGGAAUGGUUUAUCUGCAUUCUGCAAUGAAAUUUGCAUCAUAGGUACUGGUUAAUUCAAUAUUCAAUUAAAUUCUUGGUAAUGAUAUUGAAGAUCAGAGCACUAACUUUGUUGUCUGUCCUGCUAAAUGUGUUUGGGGUUUCACUAGAGGGAGAGGUAAAAUGUUCCUUCCAACCAAGGAGAGGGGGUUUUGUACAAUGGAUGAUUGCAAUGAAAGCCAUCAAUGAAAUAAGAUGUCAUGCUGUCCUGGAAAAUUCACCAAUAUUUUAUGAAAACUAUGGUGUCUUUCUCUGUGUGGCCAAGGUAACCGCUCAAGUAUGCCCACAGGAAUUGGUAAUGACUUACCAGCCUAGGCGAAUAGUUGUUAUAAUCAUACUGGAUUGAGUCAAGUAGCAGGUUGGUUAGAUUUAUUUUCAAGCUCACUUUGGCUUGGUCAGACCCGAUAUUGGAUAUAUACAUAGGGCUGACAUAUGAAAUUCUUGUGUAAAUUUUUUUUGUUUACUUCUUUGGUUAAAAGAUAUACUUGGAUGUAGCAACAGACCCAACCUUUUCUUUGAUUACAAUUUCACUGACUGUUGGAGCUAAGCUGUUAUUGGGGAAUGUUUCAUGGAAAUAUCUGCUUUCUAGAAACAAUUUCCUCUUAUCCAAUGAAAUUUAUGUGAAUAAAAUUGAAUCUUGAUGGAAACACU